GGAAAAAAUUUUCUUAAUAUUAAAGUAAGAAAAAAAAGCUAGACUAUUUUUAUUUUUAAUUGAUUAUGAUGAAUGAAUAAAAAAGAAAUACUUAUUAACUCAUAAGAUAAUAAAAGAAAAUAUUUCACUUCCAUAGAAUAUCGUUGGUCUAAUCCUAGCUUCAUAGAAGCUUUAUGUUUGCUUGUGUAAGGAAAAAAGUAAUUUUAUUUUGCUUAGCUUCUUCUAUUUUUUUUAAUUCUUCUUUUUUGGAAUAAAGGUUUAGUUUA
rnacentral:misc_RNA from 1 species